rnacentral:rRNA from 1 species
AUUGAACGCUGGCGGCAGGCCUAACACAUGCAAGUCGAGCGGAUGAAGGGAGCUUGCUCCUGGAUUCAGCGGCGGACGGGUGAGUAAUGCCUAGGAAUCUGCCUGGUAGUGGGGGAUAACGUCCGGAAACGGGCGCUAAUACCGCAUACGUCCUGAGGGAGAAAGAGGGGGAUCUUCGGACCUCACGCUAUCAGAUGGGCCUAGGUCGGAUUAGCUAGUUGGUGGGGUAAAGGCCUACCAAGGCGACGAUCCGUAACUGGUCUGAGAGGAUGAUCAGUCACACUGGAACUGAGACACGGUCCAGACUCCUACGGGAGGCAGCAGUGGGGAAUAUUGGACAAUGGGCGAAAGCCUGAUCCAGCCAUGCCGCGUGUGUGAAGAAGGUCUUCGGAUUGUAAAGCACUUUAAGUUGGGAGGAAGGGCAGUAAGUUAAUACCUUGCUGUUUUGACGUUACCAACAGAAUAAGCACCGGCUAACUUCGUG